rnacentral:sRNA from 1 species
AGGCCCUGAAUCGUGAGCAGGAAAGUGCCAGACUGCAGCAACGGGAAAGAGAGACACUGGAGGAGGAAAGGCAAGCUCUGACUCUGAGGUUGGAGGCAGAACAGCAGCGGUGCUGUGUCCUGCAGGAAGAGCGGGAUGCAGCUCGGGCUGGGCAACUGAGUGAGCAUCGAGAGUUGGAGACUCUUCGGGCUGCCCUAGAAGAAGAACGGCAGACCUGGGCCCAGCAAGAGCACCAGCUUAAGGAACACUACCAGGCGCUGCAGGAGGAGAGCCAGGCUCAGUUGGAAAGGGAGAAGGAGAAGAGCCAGAGGGAAGCCCAGGCCGCCUGGGAGACCCAGCACCAGUUGGCAUUGGUGCAGUCUGAGGUGCGGCGGCUGGAAGGAGAGCUGGAUACAGCUCGGAGAGAGAGAGAUGCCCUGCAGCUGGAAAUGAGCUUGGUGCAGGCCCGGUAUGAAAGCCAGCGGAUCCAGCUGGAGUCGGAGCUGGCUGUGCAGCUGGAGCAGCGGGUGACAGAGCGGCUGGCGCAGGCUCAGGAGAGCAGCCUACGGCAAGCAGCCUCCCUCAGGGAACAUCACAGGUACGUGGGACUCACUGGGUGUCACUUCUCUCAGCCACAGCACGUAUCAGUGCCAGGCCCGUGUUCCCUUCA